GCAGUGCAGCACACAGAACAGCAAGCCGUGGUCUUGUACCUCCCAGGCAUGGCUUGCAAUGUUCCUCACAUGCUGCUUAGAGAAAACGCAUGGUCAUAAGAAAUGCAGCUCAAAGUGUGCACACUACCACAGCUCAGGGAAGCAUUCACUCUGGAUCCUUUAAGCUUUUAUUCCUGGUAAGGCAGCCUGCUGUCUCAGCACGUUGGGUUCUCCAGGAAGGAGGCUCUGAGACGGACAUUAGCAUGGAGGAGGUUUACUAGCAGAAGAUAAGAGGGGAAAGCUGGCUCGGGAAGAGGGAAAGGUCAAGUUGCAAUGUGAUCUCCAGUGAAGCUUUAGCUGUCCUCUAGCUCCGAAGAAAAGAAGACCUUCCAGUGGUGUUCUGAGUCUGGGAAGAACCGAGGGGAGAGAGGGAAAGAGGAGGGAACCAGAAACAUGGUGGAGUAGGAGGAUCCUGAGCUCACCUCAUCCCAUGCACACACCAAGGCAACAGCUACACCUGUACAACUGACUCUGAAAAUGACCUGAAGACUAGCAGAAAACACCUUCUACAGCUAGUCAUAGAGAGAAUGCCACAUCGAAAAGGGUUAAGAUGAAAACAGAAAAAUCUCCCCUGUGAAAGUGACAUUUAUGUGACUUGAAGGAGGAAGAGGAGAGAGUCAGCAGCCAUCACCAGACAUCUGGGUUUGGAAGCAGUUUUGCUGAAGAGAACACAACCUGUGUCACUGAAUCCAAACAGCAUUCAUUCUUGGUGGUUGCGAGCAUCCUUGCAUCCAGAGAAAGGAAUCACUUUGCUAUUUUUUAUGGCUUAAUUAUAUUAUUGCAUAAAACAUUUUGGCUGUAUAACUUUCUGGACUUCCUUGCUUUACAACCAAUAAUCCCGCUGAAAUGUGAAAUGUACCUAAAAUUAACAAAGACAGUGUCUCAUCCCACAUCUCUGAUUUCAUUUAGGCUUGAAGAAGUAGUUCAACAUCACACAGAGUACAAAGCACGGGAACAGAGAGACCUAGGUUUGCUCCCAGCUCUGUGCCGCAAAGUCACUCAUUGGUGACCUGAACCAUCUGUAUUCUCUCACCCACCCAGUCUAUUGCUUGUCUCUCUCUGGGAAUAUCAAGAAAAAAAAAAUGGAGAAGAAGGAGUCUUAAUGGAACGUGUUCCCCUUAAUUACCAUUAUAUCAGUCUCUUUUCCCUAUAGGGGCUCCUGUCAGUCUCCCCCUGGACCCACCCCCUUCCUGAAUCAAAACGCUGGAAUCUUCUAUUGCUUCUCUUUAGCUAGCAUGCAGAGACAUAGAAAUAAAAUAACAAGUGGAGAAGAGAGCAAACUAGGAUAGCCUCCAUGACAGGUGAUCCCAGGGUGAAUCUAAUAAUGCAGACUUGACCUUGACCUAUGUCACCUUUAAACCACUUCACCAAAACUCUGUCUACUUCCAGGUCUGUGCCUCCUCUAAUUUCCACCAUGCUUACCUUCUUUCUUUUCAUUACCUCUUCUCUAUUCUCUCCUCCAGAUCCUCUUCUUUUAUUAUCUCCUCCCCAGUGUCCCUUUCUGCAAUCAUCUCCACCUUGUAUUUCUCACCUCUGCUUUUGUCCAUACCCAACAGUUAAGUCUGUUAGCCUAGCAUUACCGCAAGUAA